AUUGAACGCUGGCGGCAGGCCUAACACAUGCAAGUCGAGCGCGCGGCGGACGGGUGAGUAAUGUCUGGGAAACUGCCUGAUGGAGGGGGAUAAAUCCUGGAAACGGUAGCUAAUACCGCAUACCAUCAGAUGUGCCCAGGUGGGAUUAGCGAGUAGGUGGGGUAACGGCUCACCUAGGCGACGAUCCCUCGCUGGGCUGAGAGGAUGAUCAGCAACACUGGAACUGAGACACGGUCCAGACUCCUACGGGAGGCAGCAGUGGGGAAUAUUGCACAAUGGGCGCAAGCCUGAUGCAGCCAUGCCGCGUGUGUGAAGAAGGCCUUCGGGUUGUAAAGCACUUUCAGCGGGGAGGCGUUACCCGCAGAAGAAGCACCGGCUAACUCCGUGCCAGCAGCCGCGGUAAUAC
rnacentral:rRNA from 1 species